rnacentral:rRNA from 1 species
GAUUCCCCUAGUACUGCGAGUGAAGCGGGAAAAGCUCAAAUUUAAAAUCUGGCGGUCUUUGGCCGUCCGAGUUGUAGUCUGGAGAAGCGUCUUCCGCGUUGGACCGUGUACAAGUCUCUUGGAACAGAGCGUCAUAGAGGGUGAGAAUCCCGUCUUUGACACGGACUACCAAUGCUUUGUGAUGCGCUCUCAAAGAGUCGCGUUGUUUGGGAAUGCAGCGCAAAAUGGGAGGUGAAUUCCUUCUAAAGCUAAAUAUUGGCGAGAGACCGAUAGCGAACAAGUACCGUGAGGGAAAGAUGAAAAGCACUUUGGAAAGAGAGUUAAACAGUACGUGAAAUUGCUAAAAGGGAAACGCUUGAAGUCAGUCGCAUCGUCCGGAACUCAGCCUUGCUUCGGCUUGGUGCAUUUUCCGGUUGAUGGGCCAGCAUCGAUUUUGACCGCUGGAAAAGGGCUGGAGGAAUGUGGCACCCUCGGGUGUGUUAUAGCCUUCAGUCGCAUACAGCGGUUGGGAUCGAGGAACGCAGCGCGCCUUAUGGCUGGGGUUCGCCCACAUUCGCGCUUAGGAUGCUGGCAUAAUGGCUUUAAACGACCCGUCUUGAAACACGGACCAA